UACGGAGGGUGCGAGCGUUGUCCUGAUUUAUUGGGUUUAAAGGGUCCGUAGGCGGCCCAGUAAGUCAGUGGUGAAAUCUCCCCGCUCAACGGGGAAACGGCCAUUGAUACUGCUGGGCUUGAAUUAUUAGGAAGUAACUAGAAUAUGUAGUGUAGCGGUGAAAUGCUUAGAUAUUACAUGGAAUACCAAUUGCGAAGGCAGGUUACUACUAAUGGAUUGACGCUGAUGGACGAAAGCGUGGGGAGCGAACAGG
rnacentral:rRNA from 1 species